GAAGGUAUAGCUCAGUGGUAGAGCACAUGCUUAGCAUGCCAGAGGUCCUGGGUUCAAUCCCCAGUACCUCCA
rfam:Camelus ferus unplaced genomic scaffold scaffold602, whole genome shotgun sequence.